UUAUUGAAGAGACUGUCUUUUCUCCAUUGUAUAUGCUUGCCUCCUUUGUUAUGGAUUAGGUGACCGUAGGGGCUUGGGUUUAUCUGUGGACUUUCUAUCCUGUUCUUUGACCUACAUUUCUGUUUUUGUGCCAGUACCAUACUGUUUUGAUUACUCUAGCU